rnacentral:rRNA from 1 species
UGGGGAAUAUUGGACAAUGGGCGAAAGCCUGAUCCAGCCAUGCCGCGUGUGUGAAGAAGGUCUUCGGAUUGUAAAGCACUUUAAGUUGGGAGGAAGGGCAUUAACCUAAUACGUUAGUGUUUUGACGUUACCGACAGAAUAAGCACCGGCUAACUCUGUGCCAGCAGCCGCGGUAAUACAGAGGGUGCAAGCGUUAAUCGGAAUUACUGGGCGUAAAGCGCGCGUAGGUGGUUUGUUAAGUGGGAUGUGAAAGCCCCGGGCUCAACCUGGGAACUGCAUCCAAAACUGGCAAGCUAGAGUACGGUAGAGGGUGGUGGAAUUUCCUGUGUAGCGGUGAAAUGCGUAGAUAUAGGAAGGAACACCAGUGGCGAAGGCGACCACCUGGACUGAUACUGACACUGAGGUGCGAAAGCGUGGGGAGCAAACA